AUGAGUGGCGAACGGGUGAGUAAUACGUGAGUAACCUGCCCUUGACUCUGGGAUAAGCCCGGGAAACUGGGUCUAAUACUGGAUGCUACAUGUCACCGCAUGGUGGUGUGUGGAAAGGGUUUACUGGUCUUGGAUGGGCUCACGGCCUAUCAGCUUGUUGGUGAGGUAAUGGCUCACCAAGGCGACGACGGGUAGCCGGCCUGAGAGGGUGACCGGCCACACUGGGACUGAGACACGGCCCAGACUCCUACGGGAGGCAGCAGUGGGGAAUAUUGCACAAUGGGCGAAAGCCUGAUGCAGCGACGCCGCGUGAGGGAUGACGGCCUUCGGGUUGUAAACCUCUUUCAGCAGGGAAGAAGCCACAAGUGACGGUACCUGCAGAAGAAGCGCCGGCUAACUACGUGCCAGCAGCCGCGGUAAUACGUAGGGCGCAAGCGUUGUCCGGAAUUAUUGGGCGUAAAGAGCUCGUAGGCGGUUUGUCGCGUCUGCUGUGAAAGCCCGGGGCUUAACCCCGGGUGUGCAGUGGGUACGGGCAGACUAGAGUGCAGUAGGGGAGACUGGAAUUCCUGGUGUAGCGGUGGAAUGCGCAGAUAUCAGGAGGAACACCGAUGGCGAAGGCAGGUCUCUGGGCUGUUACUGACGCUGAGGAGCGAAAGCAUGGGGAGCGAACAGGAUUAGAUACCCUGGUAGUCCAUGCCGUAAACGUUGGGCACUAGGUGUGGGGGACAUUCCACGUUUUCCGCGCCGUAGCUAACGCAUUAAGUGCCCCGCCUGGG
rnacentral:rRNA from 4 species